rnacentral:rRNA from 1 species
GAUGAACGCUGGCGGCGUGCCUAACACAUGCAAGUCGAGCGGAGUUUUGAAAAGUGCUUGCACUUUUCAAAACUUAGCGGCGGACGGGUGAGUAACACGUGGGUAACCUGCUCUUCACACUGGAAUAACAGCGAGAAAUCGUUGCUAAAACCGGAUAAGCUCACGAGGCUGCAUGGUCUUGUGAGAAAAUAUUUAUAGGUGAAGAAGGGGCCCGCGUCUGAUUAGCUAGUUGGUGGGGUAAUGGCUUGCCAAGGCUUCGAUCAGUAGCCGACCUGAGAGGGUGAUCGGCCACAUUGGGACUGAGACACGGUCCAGACUCCUACGGGAGGCAGCAGUGGGGAAUAUUGCACAAUGGGGGAAACCCUGAUGCAGCAACGCCGCGUGAGUGAUGAAGGCCUUCGGGUCGUAAAGCUCUUUGAUCAGGGACGAUAAUGACGGUACCUGAAAAACAAGCCACGGCUAACUACGUGCCAGCAGCCGCGGUAAAAC